rnacentral:rRNA from 1 species
GACAGAGGCCCCAAGCGUUAGGCGGAAUCACUGGGCUUAAAGCGUGUGUAGGCGGACGCCUAAGUGUCUUGUGAAAUCCCACGGCUCACCCGUGGAACUGCUGGGCAUACUGGGCGUCUUGGGCCAACUAGGGGCAGCCGGAACAAGCGGUGGAGCGGUGAAAUGCGUAGAUAUCGGGAAGAAUACCGGUGGCGAAGGCGUUCUGCUGGGCCGUUGCUGACGCUGAGGCGCGACAGCGUGGGGAGCAAACAGG